CAACAAUUUAAACAACAUAAAACAUAAUGUGUUAAUUUCUUUAUAAUAGUCAGUGAUAAAACUUCGUGUGUAAAAUUAUUAAUAACAUCUGAUGAGUGAUCUUGAAUAAUAUUUUCUACUGCAGGAUAUGGAUAGAAUCUUAGGUUCUAAUGAUCCGAGGUGUGAAGACACUAACUGGAGUGGCGUGAGCUCGUCCACAGACGUGGUCAUGCCUGCCACCACGGACUCUACCAAAAGGAGGAUUACUUCAAUUGAAGAUGAACCACCCUCCAAGAAACCAGCGCCCACCAUCCGGGUCGACCCAGGAUUCAAAUGGAACUUGCAGGCGCUGGCAAAGGCGGCGGACGCGGUGGGGUCCGGGGGGAAGUCGCCCGUGUCGGCGCUCAACGAGCUGGGCCUCAAGGUGCAGUACAGCAUCACGCGCCAGGAGGGGCCCGCGCACUGCCCCAACUUCAACGUCACCGUCACCGUGGCGAACAUGACUUUCGAGGGCGUGGGUCACAGCAAGCGGGAGGCACGUGCGUCGGCCGCCCGUGCCUGUCUCACCGCCCUGCUGGCGCGCGCAGGGCGCGUGCUGCCGGCGCCCGGCCCGCCGCCGGACUUCACCAGCGACGAGCCCACCAGAUACACCAUUGCAGACCUCCAGUUCCCGGAGACGCUCGGCGCGCGACCGGCGGCGCCGGCGCCCAGUAUGUAUCAUGUCACACAGUUCGUGUAUCUGUUCGGGCCGCUGUCCGCGGUGCCCAUAGCGAAGAGCCCCAUCAACACGCUGUACGAGCAGUACCCGGGGCUCAACUUCAAGUGCACCUUCGGAGACGGAUCACCCUUGGACUCGGCACAAGCGCCCCCACAACUCGGCCACAGUAUGCGAUUUAAAGUGGUGUGUCAGAUCAAGGAGCAAGUGUUCGAAGGAUACGGGUCAAGCAAGAAGCUAGCCAAGCUGGCUACAGCGCGCGCGGCGCUCGGCGAGCUGUGCGAGCGAGGACUCAUCACGCCGGAGCCCGUCGCCCCAACGUCGGAGACUUUGCCUCAGCUGCUGGCCGACCACAUCGCCAAGAUAGUGAACGAGAAGUUCGUGGAGCUGAUGCACGGCGACCUGCUGCACUCCAGGCGGAAAGUGCUCGCCGGCAUCGUCAUUACGCACGAGUACGACGCCGACAGCGCCAAGGUGAUAGCUGUGGCGACAGGCACCAAGUGUGUCUCCGGGGAGCACAUCUCCGUGAGGGGACAAGCUGUCAACGACGGACACGCAGAGGUGGUGGCCCGGCGUUGCUUGCAGCGAUUUCUGUACGCAGAGCUCUUGAAGUAUGCGGAAGCGGAAGACCCCACGGCGCCGCUGGCCGCGUCGGAGCUGGAGCCGGUGGCGGGCGGCGGGUACGCGCUGCGCGCGGGGCGCCGCCUGCACCUGUACGUCAGCACGGCGCCCUGCGGCGACGGCCGCAUCUUCAGCCCGCACGAGCAGCAGGACCUGCAGCCCGACAGGCACCCCAACAGGCUGGCGCGGGGACAGCUGCGCACCAAGAUCGAGUCCGGGGAAGGCACCAUACCGGUCAAGAACAGCGUCAACGUGGUGCAGACCUGGGACGGGCUGUUGCAGGGUGAGCGGCUGCUGACGAUGUCGUGCUCGGACAAGAUGGCGCGCUGGUGCGUGGUCGGGCUACAGGGUGCUCUGCUGGGCACGUUCCUCCGGCCCGUGUACCUGCACUCGCUCGUGCUGGGCUCGCUGCUGCACCAGCACCACAUGUACCGGGCGCUGUGCGGCAGGAUCGAAGGUCUGUUGUCGUCGCUGCCGCCGCCCUACCAGCUGCAGCGUCCGCGGCUCGCGCGCGCGCUCAGCAUGGAGGCCCGCACGGCCGCGCGCGCGCCCUCCUUCAGCGUGUGCUGGGCCUCCACCGCGCCCAUGCCGGAGGUGAUAAACUCGACGACCGGCAAGCUGGAGAGUGGUCACCCCUCGCUGGUGUGCAAGCAGAGCAUGUUCGCGCGCUGGCUGCAUCUAGUGAAGAGACUGCCUCUGUUGGCUCAGGUGAACGAUACAACAGUAUCGUGAUAGUGUAGUAGGGCGAGCUGGAGAGUGGUCACCCCUCGCUGGUGUGCAAGCAGAGCAUGUUCGCGCGCUGGCUGCAUCUAGUGAAGAGACUGCCUCUGUUGGCUCAGGUGAACGAUACAACAGUAUCGUGAUAGUGUAGUAGGGCGAGCUGGAGAGUGGUCACCCCUCGCUGGUGUGCAAGCAGAGCAUGUUCGCGCGCUGGCUGCAUCUAGUGAAGAGACUGCCUCUGUUGGCUCAGGAUGAGUUCAGUCCGCCGCUGCAGAGCUUCCCGGAGGACGUGGAUCAGAUUCUGUACUGCGAAGCAAAGCUUUUGUGCGCGCCGUAUCAGGAAGCCAAAGACUGCCUCAUCAACGCGUUCGACCGCGCGCAGCUCGGCCGCUGGAUCAAGAAGCCGGUGGAGCAGGACCAGUUCCUGUGCGAGAUCCUCAACGCCGACCCGACCAUACUGUUCGCCUAGGCGGGUAGUGGUCAUAGCGGUAACACCCCGCAGACACCGCGCAACACAGCUAACACUACCACUAUCGAUAACGUUGCAACUAAAAAAAUCACUAAAAUUAAAGCUAAUAAUAAUAAUGGUAGUAAAAUUGGUAUAAAUAAUGCAAAAAGUGAUAAAGAUAAAGAUAUUAAGACUUUUAAUACAACUGAAACUUCUGACGUUCAGUUAAACACCGAUGUGGCAUUAAAUAAAAAAGCGAAUUAUAACAAAAAUAAUGAAAUUCUAAAUGAUAAUGAGAAAUUAAAUGCAUUUAAAAGCUUUAAAAGCUUCGAUAACAAUGUUGCAAAUUGUAAAAUUAUUAAAAGUAAUGUCAAUUUUAGUAAAACAAAAAUACAACAAAAAAAUAUCAAUGAUGAAUAUUAUUUAAUUAAAAGCGCACUUAAUCAAACGUUAAAAAAUAAAAACGUACUUAACAAUACUUUCUUAAUUUAUGAUAGUAGUGUAGGCACAAAUGUUUUAGAUAAUAAAAAUAUAAUCAACAAAAUUGUUGAUGAUUCGGAAGUUGUUUGCACACAAAUAGAUGAGAAUACUGGGAAUGUUUCUAAGGUUUUAAAAAAUGAUCAUGUAAUUAACAUUUAUUUCGACAAUAACGAAAAUGAAACACCUGAUGUUAAAAAACAUUCGAUCGCUCAAAAUUCGUACAAAAGUGUACUUACUUAUGAUAAGUCUAGUGAAAAUUUUAGUUCAAGAAAUGAUUUAUCGAAAGUUCCAUAUUCUAAUAAUAUUAAAUCUUACAAAAUAGAUUCAAAAAGUUCGUCUUUCGCAAUCAGUAAGUCUAGUAUUAGAAAAGGCAUCUCAAAUUUUGAAAAAGAAACAAGUAAAUUAGAAAGAGGUGAAGGUUUUAAGCCUUGUUAUAGAAAUAGUAUAAGAUCAAGUAAAGAGAAUGACGAUCACUGUACUACUGUAGAGAAUAAUUCAACGCGUUCAGAUAUUAAAAAAUACCAAGCUUUGAAAGUAAAUCAAACACAUGAAGAAAUAGCAAACAAAAUCAAUUACAAUAAAGAAAAUGUUCAAAGAUCAGAUAAUAGAUAUGUAGAUAAAACAAAACAUGAAAACGCGUCUGAGGUAAAAUCAUUUCAAUAUAAUAAUAAUAAUAAAGGGUUUUAUAACGAAUCUAAGUCAGUAGCUGCGCUGCGGCGACCGAAGUGUGUGACUGACACUUGUAACGAUUUUGAUAAAACUGCACAUAAUAUAGAUUUAGACAAAGUAAAUGCACAUUCAACUGAUAUUAAAUUUGUUAACCAAAGUCGCAAUGUCAGAACUAACAACGAUCCAUCAAACAGUAAUGAAAAAUUUAAUCCUAAAAUUUUGAAUACUAGUGAAACUAAUUUAAGAAAUAUACUAUCUAUUAGUGAUCGUCUAAAAAUAAGUGCAGAAAUUUUAGAACAGGGUGUUAAAAAGAUUGAUAUAGUUGGGAACAGAAAUUGGCAGUCUCGCGAAGAAUGCAAAGAAAAUUGGGGAGAUGAUUAUAGUAAUAGAGUUCACACUUCUAGAAACGGUAAUAGGGAAGACGUACUCCAAAAUAAAAUCAGGAACUUACGUUUAGGAAACCACACUAACUGGGGAGAUUUUGAUAAUCGUAAAAGAGAUGUUGCUAGCAAUAGAAAUACGGAACCAAACAGUGAAGACAUAUUACAGAAUAGAAACACGGACUUAUAUUUAGAACAAAACAUUAAUUGUCAAGAUUUUUGUAAUCCUAAAAAAGAUAUUGCUAGAAAUAUAAAUCGGGAAUCAAAUGUUGAAGAUGGAUUUCAAAAUAGAAAUAGGAAUUUGCCUCUAAAACAAAAUCUCGAUUGGCAUUGUAUCGAUUAUUGUAGUAAAGGGAUGAAUGUGGUGGAUAGAAAUAGGGAAACAGAUACUGCAAACGUUCAAAAUAGAAAUAGGGAGUUAUUUGUAGUUGGAAAUAGAGAUAGGGAAAUUGAAAGAGGUAAUGCUAGUUUUCUUUUAAAGCGAAAAUUAACUAUGUAUAAAAAUAUAAUACCUUAUCCAGUACCAUAAAUAUUCGUUAUGUUCUUUAUUGAUUAGUUCUUUUUCAAUAAUAUAAAUAAAUAAAUAAAUAAUAAAUUCGUCUGCACGGUGUUAUUGGCUAUGGCCGCCAUCAAUGUAGGCGGCAGGUGGGCGCGAGCCGCGAUGACGUGGUGGGCACACUACUGUGUUACUAGCUAGACAGUUUGCACUUGUCCCACUGCCACCAAUUUAAACGUAACAUACCAUAUGAAGUAGCUACCAUUCUGAAUGGGUUGUUGUAGUAUUAUAUUCUAAAUAAUUAAAACAUCUUUAGAUACAUAUAUAGUCUAAGAGCCGUAUUAUAAGCGAUCUUCACCCAUCUGUUUAUUGGAUAAAGUGUUUUAUUAUCAAAUUUAGUACGUUAUAAAACAUAUUGCGGGUAGGUUGCCUAAACUGACCAAACUAUUAAUUAACCAUCAUUAGUUGGUGUUGAGGUUAUUAACUAUCAUUAAUGAUGUCUUUGAGACAACCUACUCGCAAGAUAUUUUUCAAUUGUAAUUGUAUUUCACCAUACUAAUAUUAAAGUGUAUGUGUCUGUCUUUCUGUCUGUUUGUUUGUCCGUCUUUUAUGGUAAAACGGAACGACGAAUUGACGUGAUUUUUUUUUAGUGGAGAUAGUUAAAGGAAGGAGAGUGACAUAGGCUACUUUUUGUCUCUUUCUAACCCCGCACCAUCCCCAAAAAUGGCGGGUAAAAGUUUGUACGGAGCAUACCGUAAUUUUCAAGGUAGAAAGUUAAAAAUUGGUAGGUAUGCAGACUAUUUGUGAUUAUUGUAGGGUAGGGGCAGGACUAGGGUAGGGUAGGGAUAGCGAAGAAGUGGCCAUAAGUCAAAGCGAAGCUUGAUCGGGUCCGCUAGUUUAUGUUCUAUCUUCUAUCUAUUUAUAUAAAAAUGAAUUGCUGUUCGUUAGUCUCGCUAAAACUCGAGAACGCCUGAACAGAUUUAUCUAACCUUGGUCUUGAAAUCUUCAUGGAGUUAUAGGGAAGGUUUAAAAGGUAAGAAAAAUUAGAAUAAUUGAAUUCUAUUUCUCAUAUAAACGUUUAAGAGUCAAGGUAGGGGUAGAAAAGAUAGGGAAGAAGUGCAUAAGUCAGAGCGAAGCGUAAACGAUUCCUCUAGUUUGAUAAUAAAACAUUUUUCAUCCAAUAAACAGAUGGGUGAAGAUUUCUUAUAAUACGGCUCUUAUACUAUUGUAAGGAGGGUAGACGUAAGAAUAAUUGCCUCGUUGGUCCAGUGGUCAGCCAGGACACGAGGUCCUGGGUACGAGUCUUAGAUUGAGUUGUGGAAUACUAAGCUUUUCUUCAAAAAAAUCAGUAAUAUUCUCAGUAUAGAUGUGAGAAGUUGGUGAUGGCACCGGUGCUUUAUAGAGCGUGAAGCUGUUGUCAUUAACAUCUAAUAGUCACAUGGCUACAGGCAACUCUGCGUGCAACUGGCGGAUCACCUGGUGUUGCCAGCUUUACUGAUCUCUUUUACCCGCCUAGAGAUAGAUAUAGAUAGGAGAUACACGAUUACAUGGCAACACUUUCUUAGUUCCGAUUUUGGCCACGCGCUGACUUGCGCGUAUUAUUUUCCUCUCAAUUUUUUUUAUAGCCGUCUUUACAGCUCCAGGUUCUGAUUCUUUUGAGCCUCCCAUAAUCUUACUCUAAUCUACCCUGGGUAUUUUUUUUUAAUUCUUACAUAAAGGCGGUACCGAAAUGUGUAAUUAUUUUAUGUAAAAAGUAUUCAAUGGACUUAUUAAAUUGAUAUAAUAAUGAUGAAAAUGAAAAAAUAAAUAUGAUUUUUUUUAAAUUAAAUGGCUGAAAAUACAAUGGCAAAAAUACUUUUUUAAAUAUAGAUAUUCUAUUUUUUUUCGAAGGUUUGGUUUAUCUUGUAUUACAAAGGCGCAUUUGUGUUUGAAACUAAAGUAACGUCAGAAAAGCAGUUUUCAAUUUCAUCUGAACAAGAUUUUGUAGGUGAAUAUUUUCGAUGUAAUUAAGGAAAUUAAAUAUCACGUGUCUCAAACGGUGAAGGAAAAACAUCGUGAGGAAACCUGCAUACCAGAGAAUUUUCUAAAUUAUCUGCGUGUGUGAAGUCUGCCAAUGCCUAUGAUGAGACUAUGCCUAACCCCUCUCACUCUGAGAGGAGACUCGUGCUCAGUAGUGAGUCGAAUAUGGGUUUCAUAUUAUUAUAUUUGGUUAUCGUUCCUUUAGUCUGCACACACUUUCACAACAUAAGUCAAACCUCGUCAUUAUUGAAUAUCUAUAACAGGCAUAAGAAAUAUAUAUCCUCAUCUGUUAUUUAUUAGUGAUAAGGAAUAAUAUAAUAUUCACAGUGACGCAUUGCAAAUAGGUUGCCUAGUUAAAUUGCGCCCGGAUAUAUUUUACAUACAAAAUCUAGGAAACUAUGAAUUACUCGUAGAUCACCUUUUAAGAAGAUAAAUGAAAUCAGUUAAAUAAGAAAAAAUAAGCUUUCAUUUGACAUUUUAUACGAUUAAAUUACUGUUGAGGUUAAAUAAGUAACAUGCACUAACCUGUUCAUAUCUGGCAACCCCACAGUUGGAGUGUAAAUGCAGACCUUUACGUUUUCAAUUAUGUUGGGUAUAUUCCUUUAAAAUAAGGUGUAAUUUUUUUCUAAAAAGCUAUAAGGGAAGUAGAUAAAAUAAAUUUAUUUAAAAGUUUAUUCAUUUAAUAAUAUUCAGUUACAAUUUAACUAGGCAACCUAUUUGCAAUGUGUCACUGUGAAUAUUAUCUAUUAUUUAUUUCUCAUAAAUAUCAUAUUUUUAUGAUUUAUGAACAAAUUUUUAAAACUGUAACUCUAAAAAUUAAGGACUUUACAUACAAACUUUCAUCCUCUAUUUUAUCCCCUUAGGGGUGGAAUUUAUCAAAAUCUCUUCUUAGGGGAUGUAUACGUCAUAGUAGCUUUAUGCAUGCAAAGUCUCAGCCCGAUCGGUUUUAAAUUGACAAAGUUUCAUGUAAACUUUCAUCCCCUAAUUUAUCCCCUUGGGGGUAAAAUUUAUCAAAAUACUUUCUUAGCGGAUGCCUACGUCAUAACAUCUACUUGCAUGCUAAAUUUCAGCCCGAACCGUCCAGUGGUUUGGGCUGUGCGAUGUUAGAUCACUGUGUCAGUCAGUCACCUUUGUGUUGUAUAUAUUUAGAUAAAUAACAGAUGAUUUUGUAUUGUUUAACCAAAGAAUGUUAAAUCAAUUUUGAUGUAAACCAUUCUAGUAGCAUAAGUAGUAUAAAAUAUAGCUUGGCAAGUUCGUUCGUAACACUCCCGAACCACUGCGGGGGCCGGGGGGCGGGUAGCGAUGACAGAUAAAAGUUGACCGCUACACGUAAGUUAUUACGUUACGAAUAAGUCUUUAGAUAUUUCUGUAUAUCCUAUACAACAUAACUUGAUAUUCUAAUACACAAAUAUGUGUAUUAUAGAUUAACUGAACUAAUUUAAUUAAACAUUAUUGUAUAAUUGCAAGUUUUUAUUUUUAUCAAACAAUCAGGGCUUUAUCUAUGAUGAUUCUAUUUACGUAUAAAACCUCCUUCGUUAUAAAGUAGGCUAGUACUCAUAACAGACAAAAAUUAAAAAAAAACAAAAUUACUUUAGCCCCUAGAGGCUGAAAUGCUUGUUUAGCCCCGCUGUGGAGUGGUAAUAUGACAGUGUUUUUGAGCAAGAGUAGUGAAAAGUUCAAUUUGUUGUAUAACAUAUUGUAAUACGGGUUCCUUUUUUGUAAGUAGUACGUUCGGAACCCUAAGAAGACACAAAUAAAUUAAAAUCAAAUACAACAUUUAAAUACACAGAUUAAUCAAUAAUAUACAGAUGGAGCGUACAGAACACGUCGGUGUCGUACCCCUCACGAAUACGAAAUUCAAAAACGAAUACGUUUUCGAGUCAGUACGAUACGAACCGUCGCAUCAGUAAAUUUUCAAUAUUAUUCAAGAAAAAUGGCGUCAUAUGUUUUUAAAUAUUUUAAAAACUGUUCUCCAACUAAAGAAAUAAGAUGGAGUAGUUUUUUAUUGGUUGGUAAAUUGAUUAUUAUAUUAAUUGAUAGCCCAGUGGAUAUGACCACUGCCUCCGAUUCCGGAUGAUGUGGGAUUGAAUCCGGUCCGGGGCAUGCACCUCCAACUUUUCAGUUGUGUGCAUUUUAAGAAAUUAAACAUCACGUGUUUCAAACGGUGAAGGAAAACAUCGUGAGGAAACCUGCACGCAGAGAAUUAUCUUAAUUCUCUGCGUGUGUGAAGUCUGCCAAUCCGCAUGGGGCCAGCGUGGUGGACUAUUGGCCUAACCCCUCUCAUUAUGGGAGGAGACUCGAGCUCAACAGUGAGGCGAAUAUGGGUUGAUAAUGAUGACUAUUGUAUUAAUUUACGUAAUUGUUGUAAGUGUUGAAUUUUGAAAUACAAAUUAUGAAAAAAGUUUGUAUUGUAAUGUCAAGGAGACGCGUGACUUGUUUUUUUUUAUGGGUUGGGUUUCACCGGCUUCAGCACGCUGUUUGUACUCUCUCUGGUUACUCUGUGAUUAAAUAUAAAAUCGAUUUAAUUCCUUGUUAUUUGGUUGCCUUGACAACCAAUGACUUAUUCAUCGUUAUACUCAUUUUCGAAUAUCGUGCAUCGUGUGCGUUUUGUACUGACAUACCCCCGCGCGCACGACUUCACACCCACUCCUCCCGUCGCCCGCAUACCGUGGGAGUGUUAUCAACGAAUUUGCCAAGCUAUAGUAGUAUAGUAGAAUCACUACUAGAUGUAAGAGUAUCUUUUAGCAAUAAGAAUUUAUUGUGAUAAUUGUUUUUAUGAAAAACGCACAAAAAUGGUUUUGGUUUUUUUGUGCCUUUUUUUUAAAGUAGGUACUUAAAGUUUAAUUAAACAGUAUUGAUGAUUGAAAA